UACGGAGGAUGCGAGCGUUAUCCGGAUUUAUUGGGUUUAAAGGGUGCGUAGGCGGACUGUCAAGUCAGCGGUAAAAUCGAGAGGCUCAACCUCUUCCCGCCGUUGAAACUGGUGGUCUUGAGUGGAUGAGAAGUACGCGGAAUGCGUGGUGUAGCGGUGAAAUGCAUAGAUAUCACGCAGAACUCCGAUUGCGAAGGCAGCGUACCGGCAUCCAACUGACGCUGAGGCACGAAAGCGUGGGGAUCAAACAGG
rnacentral:rRNA from 1 species